rnacentral:rRNA from 1 species
AAACUUUCGACAACGGAUCUCUUGGUUCUGGCAUCGAAGAAGAACGCCUUUGAAUGCGAUAAGUAAUGUGAAGUGCAGAAGUCAGUGAAGCAUCGAAUCUUUGAACGCACAUUGCGCCCAUUACUAAUCUAGGGGGCAUGCAUUUCUCGAGCGUCAUUU